rnacentral:rRNA from 1 species
UACGUAGGGACCAGGCGUUGUUCGGAUUUACUGGGCGUGAAGGGCGCGUAGGCGGCUUAACAAGUCACUUGUGAAAUCUCCGGGCUUAACUCGGAACGGCCAAGUGAAACUGUCAAGCUAGAGUGCAGAAGGGGCAAUCGGAAUUCUUGGUGUAGCGGUGAAAUGCGUAGAUAUCAAGAGGAACACCUGAGGUGAAGACGGGUUGCUGGGCUGACACUGACGCUGAGGCGCGAAAGCCAGGGGAGCAAACGGG